UACGUAGGGUGCAAGCGUUAAUCGGAAUUACUGGGCGUAAAGCGUGCGCAGGCGGUUACUUAAGUCAGGUGUGAAAUCCCCGGGCUCAACCUGGGAAUUGCGCUUGAAACUGGGUGACUUGAGUUUGGCAGAGGGGGGUGGAAUUCCACGUGUAGCAGUGAAAUGCGUAGAUAUGUGGAGGAACACCGAUGGCGAAGGCAGCCCCCUGGGCCAAAACUGACGCUCAUGCACGAAAGCGUGGGGAGCAAACAGG
rnacentral:rRNA from 1 species